ACAUGCCCCAGGACAACUCUGCAAACAAGAAUGCAGCUACACGUGGUAGGCGCAGUCUCACCAAAGUCACGGAGGAUCCAUUGAAAAUCCACAUCGACAUAUUCAACCAAAAACCUUCCCCAGGUUAUACUUCUAAACAAAAACUAACUCACUUUAGAAAGCACCACUGAAGAGUCCAGAACCCAAAUUUGUUUUCAAAAUUGAAGAUAUGGGUACCUACUCCAGAAAAGGCCAGGGCCUACAGAGGCCUUAGAACCAAGCCAAGACCAUGGACAAGACGGAAGACAGGAUUCAAGGUAGAGAAGCCAGAUGGUGUUGUUCCAAACACACCUUCUCCUAAUUACAUACCCUAAUCAAGGUGUGUGAGAACAACCCUUACUCUGGGAUUGAUUCCAGAGGACAACUUGCUCUGAAAAUUGGGGUUCUACAGCCAAGAGUACAAACUUGGUUUCAAAAUUGAAGAUUUAGAUUCCUGGCUCAGAGAAAAAGAGAUCCUGAUCAAGCCUUAGAAGAAAAAUUAGACCAAAAA
rnacentral:lncRNA from 1 species